CAUGUAGGCGGCUUUUAAGUCGGUCGUGAAAUGCGGGGCUUAACCCCGUAUUGCGGUCGAAACUGGAGGGCUUGAGUGCAGGAGAGGAAAGGGGAAUUCCCAGUGUAGCGGUGAAAUGCGUAGAUAUUGGGAGGAACACCAGUGGCGAAGGCGCCUUUCUGGACUGUGUCUGACGCUGAGAUGCGAAAGCCAGGGUAGCAAACG
rnacentral:rRNA from 1 species